rnacentral:lncRNA from 1 species
UGCAAUUGUCCUAGAGUAAACUUAAUCCAUAUUAAGUUUUGGCGUUGUUGCCAAUUAUAAGAUUGAUUUUGAAUUAAAAUAAAUAAAAUAAUUAGUUAGGGUAUUAAACUAGAUAUCUAAAAAAAAUUGAGUAUUAAAAAGCUCAAUAAAAUUUAGUUGAGAUAUUUUUAUAAAAGUUUCUUAUUUAUUUAAAUAUUAGAAAAAAUAAAAUAGCAAAGAAACAUGGAGAAAAUAGUUUGGAAGCGGCAGGUAUCGGUUGGUCCUUACAUAGCAUGCAAAGCAAUCAAUUACUUCAAGGCUCCACUUCCAUACGAACACGGAGAGCAUCUCCAUGAUACAAGACAUUGUAGAAGCUGCAAGGGAUAAUGGAUUUACUUUCUCUUAUAUGCCUAGGAGCAGCUUAAGUCUAGUAGAUAAACUGGCAAAAAGAGCCAGAUGUAAUAAUCAAAACUAUGUAAUAACUUGGUUUUGAGAAUAAAGUUAAGGAGGUUGACAAAAAAAAAAAAAAAAAAGCAAAGAAACAAGGAGAAGGAGGAAGGUAAGUGGGCCACGCAAACGGUAGCGCGUGACUCCAAGCACUGUCCCCCACACACGCUGCUCUCUUUUCCCGCCAUAUAGCCGCCUGCAACUCUCUUUGGGUCCCACUUUCCCGCCCAUAAAACUGUCAAUCACCUAACCUGUCUCAUCUCCUUCCACGUAUCACUAUUGUCACGUGCCUUUUGUCUUGUGCCAUGGACUCGCGAACUCUCUGUGUUUUGCUCGGUUCUCAAGGUCAUCUUAUUAAAUUAUUUAUCGUAUCUCUUUUCCCUGAUGUGAAACAUAUAACGUAUUGUCAAAAACCUUAACGAGAAAUAAACAUAUUGUUAAAAGUUUAAAUUGUUACAAUAUAAAAAAUGGAUCUUGUAUCUGUCAAUGGUAUCUGAAAUCCAAAUAGUGUGUGGAAAUAAUAACGAAGUGAAGUAAAGCCGACAAGUUGAAAACAGAUUUACAAAAGCCGUUGGGAGUGUAAAGUAAUACUAACAAAUAAGUUAUUGAUGUGUUCUUUUCUUUCCCACCGCUCACCACGACUCGGCACA